GAAGCUUCCGGUUUCUCUCUGUGUCUCUCACUGUUCAUCUUCAUCUUCUCUGAUUUUCUUCUUCAAACCUUAUGGUUUUCAUGGUAUCAGAGCAGGAAAAUCUUCCGAUCCUUCUCUGUUACGUGUUAUCAAUACUUGAUGAAGCUUUCGCUGAAGUUUUCCUUCGGUUAUCUGGAAAAAAAUACUGUCCGUAUAUUUUUUUUGAUGAAUGAUAAUCGGUUAAUCGGGACUUUUCUGACUGUUUGAGGCUCCGAUCCUGUAUCAGUAGAUGUUUUGGGUGAUUUUCCGACAUCUCUUACUUUGUUCCGACGAGUUCUUCAAAUUCUAGGGUUUUCCGACUUUUGGACCUAGAGUUUUGGGGUUGUCCGAUGACUUUCUCUUCGCUUGAUGGACGCUUUGGGUAACUUUUCGGCGUCUGUGACCUUAUUUCGUUGAGUUUCAUACCUAGGGUUUCCGGUGUUGGACCUAGGGUUUUCUCUGUUGAUUGAAGGCUGAUCUUCUUCGGUCGCGAAGAAGGAGGGUAACUCUGUCCUUAUUUUGAGUAUUGUAUGCUUUGUGUGUGACUAUCUGGUUCUGUAUGUGACUAUCUGGUUCCGUUAUAUUUUGCUAUCGAAAUUGUUUUUUCUUUCAAGCUGGUUCAUUAAUCAUGGCUUCUAAUACCACUGCUGGUACCUCCUCCUCGGUAGACUCUACCAGCCCCCUUUUUGUAU
rnacentral:lncRNA from 1 species